GACGAGUAACCUUAAGUUGCAGUUGCAGAGGACACAAGAGUCAAACUCUAAUUUGAUUCUUGCUGUGAGGGAUCUCAAUGAGAUGUUGGAGCAGAAGAACAAUGAGAUAUCUUCUCUGAAUAGCUUAUUAGAGGAGGCUAAGAAGCUUGAAGAGCAUAAAGGAAUGGAUUCUGGAAACAAUGAGAUAGAUACGCUAAAGCAACAGAUCGAAGAUUUAGAUUGGGAGUUAGACUCUUACAAGAAAAAGAACGAAGAACAAGAGAUACUAUUAGAUGAGCUUACUCAGGAAUAUGAGUCCUUGAAAGAGGAAAAUUACAAAAACGUUUCCUCAAAAUUAGAGCAGCAAGAAUGCUCAAAUGCAGAAGACGAAUACUUGGAUUCCAAGGAUAUUAUAGACGAAUUGAAAUCUCAGAUAGAGAUAUUGGAAGGCAAACUGAAGCAGCAAUCGUUGGAGUAUUCUGAGUGCUUGAUUACAGUUAAUGAACUUGAGAGUCAGGUGAAAGAGUUAAAGAAAGAACUGGAGGAUCAGGCACAGGCUUAUGAUGAAGAUAUCGACACAAUGAUGCGGGAAAAAACUGAACAAGAGCAAAGAGCCAUCAAAGCAGAGGAGAACCUGAGGAAAACAAGAUGGAAUAACGCUAUAACUGCAGAGCGGCUUCAAGAGAAAUGCAAGAGGCUUUCUCUAGAAAUGGAAUCGAAGCUGAGCGAGCAUGAGAAUCUGACGAAAAAAACAUUGGCUGAAGCCAACAACCUUCGUCUGCAAAACAAAACUCUUGAGGAAAUGCAAGAGAAAACACAUACCGAGAUUACACAAGAGAAAGAACAAAGGAAGCACGUGGAAGAGAAGAACAAAGCUUUGUCAAUGAAAGUCCAGAUGCUUGAAAGUGAGGUCCUGAAGCUCACAAAGCUGAGAGAUGAGUCGAGUGCAGCAGCUACUGAAACCGAGAAGAUAAUACAAGAGUGGAGGAAAGAAAGAGAUGAAUUUGAGAGAAAACUUUCUUUGGCUAAAGAAGUAGCCAAGACAGCGCAGAAAGAGUUAACUCUCACUAAGUCGUCAAAUGAUGAUAAAGAGACAAGGCUCAGGAAUUUGAAGACAGAAGUAGAAGGUCUAAGCCUACAGUACAGUGAAUUACAAAACAGCUUCGUUCAAGAAAAAAUGGAGAAUGAUGAACUGAGAAAACAAGUAUCAAACCUGAAAGUCGAUAUUCGGAGAAAAGAAGAAGAAAUGACUAAAAUCCUAGAUGCAAGGUAUGUGGACAAUAAACUAACUAAACUGGAAUGUUAUUUGCGUUAUGAAUAUUUGACUUAAUUAUGAUCUAACACGGAAAGUAAACAGGAUGGAAGCAAGGUCACAAGAAAACGGACACAAAGAGGAGAAUCUAUCAAAGCUAUCAGACGAAUUGGCGUAUUGUAAGAACAAAAACAGUUCAAUGGAGAGAGAGUUGAAAGAAAUGGAAGAGAGAUAUUCAGAGAUAAGCCUGAGAUUUGCAGAGGUAGAAGGAGAAAGACAACAACUUGUGAUGGCUGUCAGAAACCUCAAGAACGGUAAGAAGUUCUAGUAUUUGUAUGUCGCUGCGAAUACAGGUGUUGUCAGAUCAUAGUAGAAAUCACUAUAUAACUUGUACUGUUAAUAGAAUUCGUUUCUCUCAUAAAACAUUAUUUUAAACUUAUCAAGAAAUCAAUAUUUUCCACUGAAAUAAGUAACGCUUACAUAAGAUUUUGAGAUGCCCACUUCCAAAAUCUGAUCAUAUCCACUGAUUGGUUUUUGGUUAGUUUCCAAUUGCUACGCCGUGUUUGUUUCUUUACUUCCAUACAAGUUUUGUUUGGCCAGUUCCAUUCGCUGUGUAAGAUAGAGACUGGAAUGAAAAAAAAAAGAUGUUAAAGAAAUCAACGGUAUGAACAAAUCUCACUUCUAUAGGGAUCAUAUAUAAUGAAUACCUGUUUUGCUCGCUUAUCAAUUGGUGUGCAUGACUUAAGAGGCGAGUAAAAUCUCUCGUUUUUUGGUGAGGCUGAAGAAUUCUUUGACCGCUUCUGCCUCUUCUCUUCUUGAAGUUUGUUGCCUCCUUUAUACUUGAAAAACUCGAGUAUGGAUGGACUCUUUCUCUUGGUAUUAGCUUUCUUUAUGUUCCCUGGAGUCUCCAAACUAGGUGGAGAAGCAUAAGAAGGAAGAGAUUGUUGUUGUUUCCUUGCUCUGCUUCUUUCUCGAACUCUGUUAAGGAAAUCAACCGUCCAAGGAGAACUUUGUACUUGAUUUGAAGAACGGAUUGCGUUUGAUAGUGGAGAUCCACCAAAAUGUGAUAUUUCUUCUCUAAAUGGAAGCUCUGUUGUUGGAACUGCAGAUCUUCGUGUUAAGACCUCCUCCAAAAGGGUCCUUUGGCGUUUUGCUGGAUAGUUAUCAGCAUAGCCACGCAAAGAAGUGUUGUUAUCAUAUUUUGAAUCUUUCUCAGUGGCGUAUCUUUCAGAACUCGAGUCGAUGUCAGCCGCCUUUGGGAAGUUAGGCUGGAGAGAUCCAAAGAAAGAUAACUUCCUUGAAGAUUUUGAUUUUCUUGGAAGUUCCUCUUCAUUAACAUCAGAAACUAUUCGAGCAAACCUAUUAUAACCAGGAGAAGGCGGGAAGUCUUCCUCGAGAUACUUAUCAGCUCUGUCAAUUACUUCACCUUUGUAGUCUGCGAUGAAAUUCUCCGAGUUCCUAUUGUCAUGCAAGUUAAAAUCUCUCAUCACCGGAAAUUUACAUCCUCUGUUCUGGCUCAUGAAUUUGUCUUUAACUGGGAAACUCCAAUCUUCUAAUUCAGGAAUUCCAGGAAGACUGUCCUCCACUGAAAAAUCAGGCUGAUCUUUCUCCCAAAAUGUGUCCUUUGAUGAUGAACCAGGUCCUGACUUCUUGUCAAAUCUCUCAGGAUCUUUAGACGGCCAAGAGUCAUUGGGAUGACUGAUCCCAGAAGGUUUGAAAGGUGCAUCUGAGAAUUCAGUGACAGGGUCAAAAUGAAAGAUCUCAUGAUCUUUCGAUGACCAAGAAUCAUCAAGUUGGAAAUCCCCAGAAGACUUGAGCUGUGUAUCAGCAAAUUCUAUCGAGGGAGAAAAAUGCACCAAGUCGUCCAUAUCUAUCUCAUCUUUCUCAGCAAUGUACUGUUUCUUUUUUGAGCCAGAAUGGACACUGACAUGGUGUGUGUCUGAGUCAGGUCCAGAAGAUACCGAAGAAGAGCUGUCUGUCAUUACAGAUCUGGAGUCCUCCCUUGCUCCGUAUCUGCAUACUGAACUGAAUAGAUCAACACUCUCUUCAGGUACAUGAUACUUUUGCGUCCUUUCAACCUUGCUUUUAUGUGGGAGCUUCAUGAAUUCGAGAAGUGACCCAGAAGAUGACAGAAUUACUUGAGCUGUGAGUGGAUUCACGGAAGGAAACUUGGUGAGAAAUGAUUCUGCUAGAGAUUCUGACUCGGGCAUUUUGACAUGGAGUUUGGACAACUUAACAGAAGAUUUGAUACACUUCAAUAUAAUUUCAUCCGUGAGAUUAGCUGACGAUGAGCAAAACAUCUGUAAACUGAUUCCUAGGCUACCAGCUGCUGCAUACAGUUCAUCAGAGGAGUCCAUUACGGCAGCCAGGAAGGCGGGUUCCCCCUCAAAAACCUGUACGAAAAAUAACAAUCGUUCUUUAAGUUCUCUGGACUCAGUCUACAGUUUAGAAGAAAAUGUUGCAGAGACUUUAGUAUAUGAGUGAGUAUUAAACAUCUAGUAAGUUUGUAAUCAUCAAAUUAGCAAAAAUAAUAGAAGAUGAUUCUUAAAGUGAAAGGUCCACAUAUAUACUGCAACGUUCCCACAAAAGAACGGCAAAAAGCAAAGUUUGGUGGAAUUUACCAUAAUGCAAGUGCUGAAACUGAAACUCAAUGACGUCAAAACAUUAGUUGCGAUAUCUCCAAUCCAUGAAAGUGAACUUGAGGAAGUACCAAUAGUUGCAGCCGACUUCUUACUAACAGUUUCACUAUCAUACCAGAGUAGGCAAACUGCAGGACUUAACAUCAGGUCCACAGGUAGAUCUGAAUCGCGCUCCACAACUUGCACUCCUUCUUUUUCCAUUGCUAACACCUUCUGGUAUGUACUUCUUCUGGAUAUGAUCAUCUCCUUAUCGACAGUUUUUGUGUUCACAACAAUCACAGAUCUUUGGUCAGAGAGACCCUGUUCAAUUAUCCCACGUUUUCUUUCAGAUUCUUGAGGCAUGGAGAUAAAUUCAGAUUCAUUUGUGGUUUCGGAAGAUCCUGCAUAACACACUUUUUCAAGUGGAACAAAGUUCAACACUUCUUCCAACCACCCAGUUUUCGUCUCAACUUCGUCUCCCUACAAAAGAGAUAAUAGUGUACAUAGGUUCUCGUAUCUGCAUAUUCUGGAACAUAUUCAAACAAAGCGUUCAAAAUAUGCAGUUAUGGAAUAAACGUGAAUACCACUGAUGUGACAACACAAUUUUAGGUUAAAGUACAUACUAAUGUUAAACUUGCAUAAUUUUCAGUGUUGCAAAACCAAUCAAGAUCAUAUGCUCAUGAAAGUACUAUUUGUGAUACAGAUUGAUCUACUGCUCUGAAUUUGAACCCUUCACACAGACUCUUCCAUCGUAAUAUACAAUCUACCAAUAUAACUUGUAAGAAAAGGUUGAAUGUUUCUCACCUUUAUCAUUUUGAGACUAUAAGGUACUGUAACACCUGCACAGAGUUGCCCGCAUGCACUGGGCAUAUCCAGCUCCACUUUUAUGAAAUGAAAGGAAGGAAAGGAAUCCAACUUUGAAGGAAAAGAAUAUCUGGGCGAGGCAUUUGGACCUCCAUAUUCUACAAUGACGCUGAAAUUCUCCACAGGAAAAGAUGGAGAAAUUUGCCUUAGAUGAAAAAGAAAGGACUAGUUAGCUUAACUACUCCCAAAAGACAAUUUCACUAAAAGAUAUUGAACAAAGAAUCGAUAAAGCUAUGUUUUAGCAUGCAAAGAACAAUAAUGCAGCAAUUUCACGAGCAGAGAAGUAACAACAUUUUGUGGUAUCUCUUACAAUCACCAUGCUAAAAGACUGAAAAUGCUUUUCAGGCCGCAAUAUAUCAAUUCUUUGGUUCCCUUUCUAGUUCCCAAAAAAUUCAACUGUGAAAAGCUAUGAUCAUUGAUAAUGAGGAUAUGGCUAUAGGAAGAAAUAAUACUCACUCGUAAGAGAUAAUUAGACAGUCUGAAAUCGGCAGGAAACCAAGUUCUAUGGCUUCAUGAACAUUUGGUCGAUUUCCACUUGGGGAGGGACUGUUGAGGUCAUUGUAAGAUAACCCCAUGGACAUCAGUAGCCUCUUCAGCGAGGACCAAAACACUUUCUCAGCCAAAAGUAAUGCUUUGGAGUUCCCCCGGGCAAAUUCUGACUGUAAAAUCCCCUGGAUAACAGCUAGUGAUGGAUGUGAUCUUGUGAUGUCUGUCUCAUCUGAUUUGUGUUCUGUUUCAACUGCUGAGUAGAGGGUGUGCAAUCCUAUCUUCAUGGGAUUUGAGCUUCGACAUACCUUGUUAAGAUAGAUAUAUGCCACAUGGAUACCGAAGAAACACAUAUACCAUGUCAUCUGUUUAAUUGCUAAUAGUAAUGCAAACGUGAAAGUCUUAUCAUCCGCCAACUGUGUUUUGUGGACAUUUGCCUUUCUUAUGCAGUCAAUAAGCUUUCCUUUAGAUAUGCUGAGUAACUUAAGUUUAUCUUCUGAUAAAUUCUCUGAUUCAUCCUUCACAAGAGUUAAAUAGCUCUUCACAAAUUCCCCAACAAGAGCCUGAAUAUUUUCUGAAGGGCGCACACUGUGAAGUAUCAUUUCCUCUGUCUUCGGGUUUGGGUGCAUACCACCAGAUCUACAUGAAGCCUUCGAGUCAAUAGACAUACAUUUAUGGUUGGUAGUCUUAGCAGCUUCGACUCUAGACUCGAGAUUAUCUUCAAUCACAGCCUUCUUCGGAUCCAUGAAAAAGGUUAAGUCAUCAAAAGCAGACAUUGAUUUGAACAACAGCGUAGCCUUCUUAGCAUUAUCAUCCACUGCACAAUCCCUUGCUCCUGUUUUUUGGAAAGGGUUUUCCAAUAACCCAUGCGAAGUAUUAACAGGAGCAUGCUCAUCAAGGUUAGAUAUACCAUAGAAAGGUUCAGUGCAUUUCUCUACAAGUGGCUCGCAGAAAGCAUCUUCAGAGAAAAUGAAAUCAUAAACCCAUUUGUCUCCUUCUGAAGCUUCCCAGUUAUAAUCAAUGUUGAAUGUAACUAUUUCUUCAAACGGAUAAUCACAAUGGUUGUGGUUUCUUUCCUCAAGAAGGUUCCACGGCAAGUAUAUGUCAUUUGAGGCAGACAAGGAUUGAGGCUUGAUCUUUGACAAAACAUCCUCAUAAAUGAGCUCCAGAGAUCUUGUCAUCUCAUAAUCAUGUAAAAUAGGAGUAGGCAAAGACUUGAAGGCAUCAUCUGUGAAGGCAAGUUCGGAACUGACAACUAAUUCAUCGAAAUCCUUGAAGUUCAUCUCUUUACUGAACAUACCGUAACAGAUUUCUGGUUCAAUGGCUUUUUGAAGACAAAGGAAGAUAUCAAAAACAUCAGAGAUAUCCACAUCCAGGAUCUGGAAUUCCUCAUAAGUUACUGGUACAGCCACCUUUCCCUGAAAUUCCUCAGCAUUUGAUAUUUCCAGGAUAGUCACUAUAUCCAUUUCAGAAAAUUCAUCCUCUGGUACCACAUCAGAUUGGCCACUCUUGUUCAAAUAGCAAUCCGUAGAGAGUACAUCCAAUAGAUCAUAAUCCUUUGAGCCUAUAAGCUCCUUAGAAUUGAUAAUGAGAGAACUCCCUGCAUUAGUGUCUUGGGGUUCAAUCGUCUCAAGAACAGUAAAUACUUUAUCAAGCACAGAUAAGCUUGAUAGUUCGCUCAAGUUUACUUCAUCCACUUCUAGAAGGGGAAAUCUGGCAUCUUUGAACCAUGGUUGAAUCUUGCGGAAGCAUUCAUUUUCUGCUACAGAAGUGUUGUUCUCUGUAAAGUAAUCAGAAGGAAUGUAAUCAACAGAAUAAAUCUGCUCUUGAAUGUCCUUUGAGUUCUGCAGGAUAAUAUCUGACCCCUCAUAUUUAACCUGCAAUAAGAAGACUAGCUAAAAUCAGAUGAUGCCAAGAACAGGAACCAGCUCUACCACUCUACAGCAAAAGCAAAAACUACUGUUGUGUGUGCCAACUAAAAUCAACUCAGGGAUUUACCGGGUCAUUUUUGAUCUCUAGAACUUCAGAGAAACAUUGGAGAUGAUCCUCACUCGUGCAUAAGAGCUUGUUCUCCUGUAUAUCAAAAGAUGCUUUAUCUCGCAAUGAAAAAGAAAAAGCUGAACUAGUUCAAUUAGUACAAUGCUUACACAGCUUGAGCAAUACCAUCUCAAAAUCCAACUCUGGAGUCUCCAACUCAAUAAUUUUAGGUGUAGCUUUAUCCGCAAUGGCAUCUCCGUCAUCCUUCUGCAAAUAGAUCAUAACUUCGGUUUUCAAACUCCGGUAAGAUUCGCUUAAGCUACCAAAAUUUCCAACCCAAGUAUGAAUAUAAGAUCUAAGCAACAAUCAGAAAUGGAAACUGAGAAAACACACCACAAAUUUCGAAAAAUCUACAACCAAUCUCACUAUAAGAAACAAAGGACCGUUGACAGAAACAGUCAGCGAGACUCAGGAAAUUCGAAAUUUCACCUCCAGGAACUGAUAAUAUCUAGAUCGAAGGAACUUUACCUCGUCUGAGUAAUAAACUCCGAGCGAAGAGUCGUCGAUUUCAAAAACUCGAUAGUCCACACUGACGCGGUCGGGAACCACGUCGGAAAGGAACUUCGACAAAGCAGCUUCAAUAGGCAAAUUUCCGAUAGGGAUACUAACAUUUUCGAUCGAGCCAAAUCGGAGACGGUCUUCUUCUCCGUUGUAGACGAUGGGUGCCGGGAAAUUAUCAGGAGCCGGAAGAUUGAGGAAGCCUAGGGUUUCAAAUACGUGAGAAGGUGGAGUAGAGAAGUAAUCGAUGUUGAGAAAUCGAGUUCGCAUCGUAAUUUUCUAGAUCCGUCUUGGGAGCUCAGACUGUAUCAGUGAUGAUGAUGAUGAUGAAGAAGAGAACGAAUUUUGAAAUUGGCGGUUUUGAAUUUUUAAGAAAUUAAAAAAUAUCCCCCGUCGAUUUCAAGAGGGAGAUGGAGAUACCAAAGCAACUCUCGCCACUUGUCGUCUUUUAAUUUUAAUUGAGUACGUUAUGCCGUUUUAAAUGUUCAAAACAGCACACAGUUGAUAGCUGAAUUGAUUUUUUCUUUUGCCGUUUUGUUAUAUUUAAACAACACACAGUGCAUUUGCCAAAUAACUACAUGAUGGGCCAAUAAACGUGGACCGACUAAAACUAAAUAAUAGAAGAUACAUCGAUAGGCUUCUCUAAAGAUCGGAUAAAAGAUAAUGUCGCAUAGCCACGUAGAGAGCAACUGGCUGAGACGUGGCAGGACGAAACGGACGCAUCGUACGUGUCAGAAUCCUACAGAAGUAAAGAGACAGAAGCCAGAGAGAGGUGGUUCGGCCAUAUGUCAUCGUUCUCUCUAUAAACUUUAUGGAACUUUGUUCUGAUUUUCUCAGAGACACGAAAAGAAAGAAAACAACACUAGAACAAAGAGGGUUUGAUUGAUUCACUUGAAAAAGAGAAAACACAGCUUUGGAAAAUGGAGUCACAGUUGACACGUCCUUAUGGUCAUGAGCAAGCAGAAGAACCAAUCAGAAUUCACCAUCCAGGUAUAUAUAUAUCUAUGACAGAAGAUUCUAAUUUGAGAACUUUUCUCUUAAUUUGCCUUAUUUAUUGUGAUUCGGAUACAGAAGAAGAAGAGCAUCAUGAGAAGGGAGCAUCCAAAGUGUUGAAGAAAGUAAAAGAAAAGGCUAAGAAAAUCAAGAACAGUCUCACUAAACAUGGAAAUGGUCAUGAUCACGAUGUGGAAGAUGAUGAUGAUGAGUAUGACGAGCAAGACCCAGAAGUUCACGGCGCACCAGGUUAAUUUCUCUGUAUUAAAGUCCUCGUCAAUCAGCAGUUAUAUUUUUUUGUGUAUUAACGGUUUUUCUGUUUUUUUAUGUGUAUGCACAGUGUAUGAAUCCUCUGCCGUGAGAGGUGGUGUAACGGGUAAACCUAAGUCUCUUAGUCAUGCCGGAGAAACUAAUGUUCCGGCAUCGGAGGAGAUUGUUCCUCCAGGGACAAAAGUUUUUCCUGUCGUGUCUUCUGACCACACCAAACCCAUUGAGCCUGUAUCAUUACAAGAUACCUCUUACGGACAUGAGGCACUGGCUGAUCCUGUAAGAACGACGGAAACAUCGGACUGGGAAGCGAAAAGAGAGGCACCGACUCAUUAUCCUCUCGGAGUGUCAGAAUUUUCAGACAGAGGAGAGAGCAGAGAGGCUCAUCAAGAGCCAUUGAACACUCCUGUGUCUCUGCUUUCAGCAACAGAGGACGUGACUAGGACGUUUGCUCCUGGUGGUGAAGAUGACUAUCUCGGUGGUCAACGGAAAGUCAACGUCGAGACGCCAAAACGUUUGGAGGAAGAUCCGGCUGCUCCAGGAGGAGGAUCGGAUUAUCUCAGUGGUGUAUCUAAUUAUCAGUCCAAAGUUACUGAUCCCACGCAUAAAGGUAAUGACUUUGGCCGAGACUUUUUUUAGGGUUUAUGAAUCUGUAAUAACUCUUGUCUGUUCUGUUUAAGGUGGAGAAGCUGGAGUACCAGAGAUUGCUGAGUCUCUUGGUAGAAUGAAAGUGACUGAUGAGUCUCCUGAUCAGAAAUCAAGACAAGGACGCGAAGAAGACUUUCCGACGAGAAGCCAUGAGUUUGAUCUGAAGAAGGAAUCUGAUAUCAACAAGAAUUCUCCGGCAAGAUUUGGAGGGGAAUCAAAAGCUGGGAUGGAGGAAGAUUUUCCGACAAGAGGUGAUGUGAAAGUAGAGAGUGGAUUGGGAAGAGACUUACCGACGGGAACUCAUGAUCAGUUCUCACCAGAACUAUCUCGUCCCAAAGAGAGAGAUGAUUCUGAGGAAACCAAAGAUGAGUCGACACAUGAGACAAAACCAAGCACCUACACAGAGCAGUUAGCUUCAGCUACAUCAGCCAUAACUAACAAAGCUAUAGCCGCAAAGAACGUCGUUGCCUCAAAGCUAGGUUACACCGGAGAGAAUGGCGGCGGGCAAAGCGAGAGCCCUGUAAAAGAUGAAACUCCGAGAUCUGUUACUGCUUACGGGCAGAAAGUGGCGGGAACUGUUGCUGAGAAGUUGACUCCGGUUUACGAAAAAGUCAAAGAAACAGGAUCAACGGUGAUGACAAAGCUACCUCUCUCCGGAGGUGGAAGUGGAGUGAAGGAGACGCAACAAGGGGAAGAGAAAGGUGUGACGGCUAAAAAUUAUAUAUCAGAGAAGCUGAAACCUGGAGAAGAGGACAAAGCUUUAUCGGAAAUGAUAGCUGAGAAACUUCAUUUUGGAGGAGGAGGAGAGAAGAAGACAACGGCUACAAAGGAGGUGGAAGUGACGGUUGAGAAGAUACCUUCCGACCAGAUAGCGGAGGGGAAAGGACAUGGUGAGGCGGUUGCAGAGGAAGGAAAAGGUGGAGAAGGAAUGGUGGGGAAAGUUAAAGGAGCGGUCACUUCUUGGCUCGGUGGUAAACCGAAGUCGCCACGGUCCGUUGAAGAGUCUCCACAAUCACUUGGCACCACCGUUGGUAAAACUCCCUCGUCCUUGUGUUACACGUAAUGUUAAGAUUUUGAUGUGUGUAUUAUUUUUGUAAUUUUACUCAAAAUGUUUUGGUUGCUAUGGUAGGGACUAUGGGGUUUUCGGAUUCCGGUGGAAGUGAGUUGGGAGGCAGUGGCGGAGGUAAGGGAGUUCAAGAUUCUGGGAACUGAAGAUUUGGGGUUUUGCUUUUGAAUGUUUGUGUUUUUGUAUGAUGCCUCUGUUUGUGAACUUUGAUGUAUUUUAUCUUUGUGUGAAAAAGAGAUUGGGUUAAUAAAAUAUUUGCUUUUUUGGAUAAGAAACUCUUUUAGCGGCCCAUUAAUAAAGGUUACAAAUGCAAAAUCAUGUUAGCGUCAGAUAUUUAAUUAUUCGAAGAUGAUUGUGAUAGAUUUAAAAUUAUCCUAGUCAAAAAGAAAGAGUAGGUUGAGCAGAAACAGUGACAUCUGUUGUUUGUACCAUACAAAUUAGUUUAGAUUAUUGGUUAACAUGUUAAAUGGCUAUGCAUGUGACAUUUAGACCUUAUCGGAAUUAAUUUGUAGAAUUAUUAAUUAAGAUGUUGAUUAGUUCAAACAAAAAUUUUAUAUUAAAAAAUGUAAACGAAUAUUUUGUAUGUUCAGUGAAAGUAAAACAAAUUAAAUUAACAAGAAACUUAUAGAAGAAAAUUUUUACUAUUUAAGAGAAAGAAAAAAAUCUAUCAUUUAAUCUGAGUCCUAAAAACUGUUAUACUUAACAGUUAACGCAUGAUUUGAUGGAGGAGCCAUAGAUGCAAUUCAAUCAAACUGAAAUUUCUGCAAGAAUCUCAAACACGGAGAUCUCAAAGUUUGAAAGAAAAUUUAUUUCUUCGACUCAAAACAAACUUACGAAAUUUAGGUAGAACUUAUAUACAUUAUAUUGUAAUUUUUUGUAACAAAAUGUUUUUAUUAUUAUUAUAGAAUUUUACUGGUUAAAUUAAAAAUGAAUAGAAAAGGUGAAUUAAGAGGAGAGAGGAGGUAAACAUUUUCUUCUAUUUUUUCAUAUUUUCAGGAUAAAUUAUUGUAAAAGUUUACAAGAUUUCCAUUUGACUAGUGUAAAUGAGGAAUAUUCUCUAGUAAGAUCAUUAUUUCAUCUACUUCUUUUAUCUUCUACCAGUAGAGGAAUAAACAAUAUUUAGCUCCUUUGUAAAUACAAAUUAAUUUUCGUUCUUGACAUCAUUCAAUUUUAAUUUUACGUAUAAAAUAAAAGAUCAUACCUAUUAGAACGAUUAAGGAGAAAUACAAUUCGAAUGAGAAGGAUGUGCCGUUUGUUAUAAUAAACAGCCACACGACGUAAACGUAAAAUGACCACAUGAUGGGCCAAUAGACAUGGACCGACUACUAAUAAUAGUAAGUUACAUUUUAGGAUGGAAUAAAUAUCAUACCGACAUCAGUUUGAAAGAAAAGGGAAAAAAAGAAAAAAUAAAUAAAAGAUAUACUACCGACAUGAGUUCCAAAAAGCAAAAAAAAAGAUCAAGCCGACACAGACACGCGUAGAGAGCAAAAUGACUUUGACGUCACACCACGAAAACAGACGCUUCAUACGUGUCCCUUUAUCUCUCUCAGUCUCUCUAUAAACUUAGUGAGACCCUCCUCUGUUUUACUCACAAAUAUGCAAACUAGAAAACAAUCAUCAGGAAUAAAGGGUUUGAUUACUUCUAUUGGAAAGAAAAAAAUCUUUGGAAAAUGGAUCAAACAGAGGAACCACCACUCAACACACACCAGCAGCACCCAGGUAGAUUCUAAUUUCAGAAACUUAUAUUUUUUUUAAGUGACAAUCCUCUGAAUUUACUUAAACUUAUUGUGAUUUAUGGAUACAGAAGAAGUUGAACAUCAUGAGAAUGGUGCGACUAAGAUGUUUAGGAAAGUAAAGGCUAGAGCUAAGAAGUUCAAGAACAGUCUCACUAAACAUGGACAAAGCAAUGAGCAUGAGCAAGAUCAUGAUUUGGUUGAAGAAGAUGAUGAUGAUGACGAGCUAGAACCUGAAGUGAUCGAUGCACCAGGUUACUUUCUUUUGUAGUUUCAUUCAACUUAUGAUCUAAAAACUAUUGGUUAUUCAAUUUUGCGUGACAUUAACGGUUUGGUAUCUGUAUAUGCAGGCGUAACAGGUAAACCUAGAGAAACUAAUGUUCCAGCAUCGGAGGAAAUUAUUCCACCAGGGACAAAGGUGUUUCCUGUCGUGUCUUCCGAUUACACCAAACCCACUGAAUCUGUACCAGUACAAGAGGCCUCUUACGGACACGAUGCACCGGCUCAUUCUGUAAGGACGACGUUUACAUCGGACAAGGAAGAGAAAAGAGAUGUACCGAUUCAUCAUCCUCUGUCCGAAUUGUCAGACAGAGAAGAGAGUAGAGAGACUCAUCAUGAGUCAUUGAACACUCCGGUCUCUCUGCUUUCUGGAACAGAGGAUGUAACGAGUACGUUUGCUCCAAGUGGUGAUGAUGAAUAUCUUGAUGGUCAACGGAAGGUCAACGUCGAGACCCCGAUAACGUUGGAGGAAGAGUCGGCUGUUUCAGACUAUCUUAGUGGUGUAUCUAAUUAUCAGUCCAAAGUUACUGAUCCCACCAAAGAAGGUAAGAACUUUGACCUUUUAAGAUUGUGUUUUUCUUUAGUGAUUAUGAAUAUGUAAUAACUCUGUUACGUUGUGUUUGGUUUAGAAACUGGAGGAGUACCGGAGAUUGCUGAGUCUUUUGGUAAUAUGGAAGUGACUGAUGAGUCUCCUGAUCAGAAGCCAGGACAAUUUGAAAGAGACUUGUCGACGAGAAGCAAAGAAUUCAAAGAGUUUGAUCAGGACUUUGACUCUGUUCUCGGUAAGGAUUCGCCGGCGAAAUUUCCAGGUGAAUCAGGAGUUGUUUUCCCGGUGGGCUUUGGUGACGAGUCAGGAGCUGAGCUGGAAAAAGAUUUUCCGACGAGAAGUCAUGAUUUUGAUAUGAAGACUGAAACUGGAAUGGACACGAAUUCUCCAUCAAGAAGCCAUGAAUUUGAUCUGAAGACUGAAUCUGGAAACGACAAGAAUUCUCCGAUGGGCUUUGGUAGUGAAUCAGGAGCUGAGCUGGAAAAAGAAUUUGAUCAGAAGAACGAUUCUGGAAGAAACGAGUAUUCGCCGGAAUCUGACGGCGGUUUAGGAGCUCCGUUGGGAGGAAAUUUUCCGGUGAGAAGUCAUGAGUUGGAUCUGAAGAACGAAUCUGAUAUCGACAAGGAUGUGCCGACGGGAUUUGACGGAGAACCAGAUUUUCUGGCGAAGGGAAGACCUGGAUACGGUGAGGCAUCAGAAGAGGAUAAAUUUCCGGCGAGAAGUGAUGAUGUGGAAGUAGAGACUGAGCUGGGAAGAGACCCAAAGACGGAGACUCUUGAUCAAUUCUCACCGGAACUUUCUCAUCCUAAAGAAAGAGAUGAGUUUAAGGAGUCCAGAGAUGAUUUUGAGGAGACGAGAGAUGAGAAAACAGAGGAGCCAAAACAGAGCACUUACACAGAGAAGUUUGCUUCAAUGCUAGGUUACUCCGGAGAAAUUCCGGUGGGAGAUCAAACUCAAGUGGCGGGAACUGUUGAUGAGAAGUUGACUCCGGUCAAUGAGAAGGAUCAAGAAACAGAGUCUGCCGUGACGACGAAGUUACCUAUCUCCGGAGGUGGAAGUGGAGUAGAGGAGCAACGAGGGGAAGAUAAAAGUGUGUCGGGUAGAGAUUAUGUGGCGGAGAAACUGACAACUGAAGAAGAAGACAAAGCCUUUUCUGAUAUGGUUGCCGAGAAAC
rnacentral:lncRNA from 1 species